AUCCUAAGAGAUAGGGAAAUUCCGUUUGCAAGCGCCCGAUCUUGGGCCGCCUAUCGAAAGGGAAUCGGGUUAAUAUUCCCGAACCGGGACGCGGAUAUUGCCGUUCGCGGCAGAUGCGGUAACGCAAACGAACCCGAAGACGCUGGCGGGGGCCCUGGGAAGAGUUCUCUUUUCUUUUUAACGAGCUUUCACCCUGAAAUCAGCUUGCCUGAGAGAUAGGGUUUAAUGCUCUGUAAAGCACCACACUUCUUGUGGUGUCCGG
rnacentral:ncRNA from 1 species